UAAUACAUGCAAGUAGAACGCUGAAGAGAGGAUUUUGCUCUUCUUGGAUGAGUUGCGAACGGGUGAGUAACGCGUAGGUAACCUGCCUUGUAGCGGGGGAUAACUAUUGGAAACGAUAGCUAAUACCGCAUAACAAUGGAUGACACAUGUCAUUUAUUUGAAAGGGGCAAAUGCUCCACUACAAGAUGGACCUGCGUUGUAUUAGCUAGUAGGUGAGGUAACGGCUCACCUAGGCGACGAUACAUAGCCGACCUGAGAGGGUGAUCGGCCACACUGGGACUGAGACACGGCCCAGACUCCUACGGGAGGCAGCAGUAGGGAAUCUUCGGCAAUGGGGGCAACCCUGACCGAGCAACGCCGCGUGAGUGAAGAAGGUUUUCGGAUCGUAAAGCUCUGUUGUAAGUCAAGAACGAGUGUGAGAGUGGAAAGUUCACACUGUGACGGUAGCUUACCAGAAAGGGACGGCUAACUACGUGCCAGCAGCCGCGGUAAUACGUAGGUCCCGAGCGUUGUCCGGAUUUAUUGGGCGUAAAGCGAGCGCAGGCGGUUUGAUAAGUCUGAAGUUAAAGGCUGUGGCUCAACCAUAGUUCGCUUUGGAAACUGUCAAACUUGAGUGCAGAAGGGGAGAGUGGAAUUCCAUGUGUAGCGGUGAAAUGCGUAGAUAUAUGGAGGAACACCGGUGGCGAAAGCGGCUCUCUGGUCUGUAACUGACGCUGAGGCUCGAAAGCGUGGGGAGCGAACAGGAUUAGAUACCCUGGUAGUCCACGCCGUAAACGAUGAGUGCUAGGUGUUGGAUCCUUUCCGGGAUUCAGUGCCGCAGCUAACGCAUUAAGCACUCCGCCUGGGGAGUACGACCGCAAGGUUGAAACUCAAAGGAAUUGACGGGGGCCCGCACAAGCGGUGGAGCAUGUGGUUUAAUUCGAAGCAACGCGAAGAACCUUACCAGGUCUUGACAUCCCGAUGCUAUUUCUAGAGAUAGAAAGUUACUUCGGUACAUCGGUGACAGGUGGUGCAUGGUUGUCGUCAGCUCGUGUCGUGAGAUGUUGGGUUAAGUCCCGCAACGAGCGCGACCCCUAUUGUUAGUUGCCAUCAUUCAGUUGGGCACUCUAGCGAGACUGCCGGUAAUAAACCGGAGGAAGGUGGGGAUGACGUCAAAUCAUCAUGCCCCUUAUGACCUGGGCUACACACGUGCUACAAUGGUUGGUACAACGAGUUGCGAGUCGGUGACGGCAAGCUAAUCUCUUAAAGCCAAUCUCAGUUCGGAUUGUAGGCUGCAACUCGCCUACAUGAAGUCGGAAUCGCUAGUAAUCGCGGAUCAGCACGCCGCGGUGAAUACGUUCCCGGGCCUUGUACACACCGCCCGUCACACCACGAGAGUUUGUAACACCCGAAGUCGGUGAGGUAACCUUUUGGAGCCAGCCGCCUAAGGUGGGAUAGAUGAUUGGGGUGAA
rnacentral:rRNA from 1 species